UUUCUUAGACAGAAGAGAAUAGUGUAACAGAAUUUUCAUAAUGUUCAUGCCAAAGGGUGAAGCAAAUGGGAAUAGUUACACUUGAACUCUCUCAUAUUUGCAGAAUGGUGAAUAUAUUAUUAAUGUGGUUGCUGUGAAAUAGUGUAAUUGAGUCAAAUAUUUGGCAUAAUAAAUUCAGUGUACCUUUGGUUCUUCAUAGGAGCUCAGUUUCCUGUGUUAAGCUCACUG